AUUUCCUUUCCAGGUAAUGUUGUGUGAUAUGAUUCCUUUCCAGGUAAUGUUGUGUGAUAUGUUUCCUUUCCAGGUAAUGUUGAGUGAUAUGUUUCCUUUCCAGGUAAUGUUGUGUGAUAUAUUUUCUUUCCAGGUAAUGUUGUGUGAUAU